CUUCAGCGAGCCCAGCCACAGCGGCUGGUCCUCGGAGCGGCCCUGGCCGUAGGUGGCGAGCAACGCCUGGGCCUC
rnacentral:antisense_RNA from 1 species